GGGAGUGUAGCUCAGUGGCAAAGCACUUACUUAGCAGGCAUAAAGCCCUGGGUCCCAUUCCCAGUGCUUCCU
rnacentral:tRNA from 1 species